rnacentral:rRNA from 1 species
GGGAAGAGCUCAAAUUUGAAAUCUGGUGGCCUCAGGUCAUCCGAGUUGUAAUCUAUAGAAGUGUUUUCCGUGCUGGCCCAUGUACAAGUCCCUUGGAACAGGGCGUCAUAGAGGGUGAGAAUCCCGUCCUUGACAUGGACUACCAGUGCUCUGUGAUACACUUUCAACGAGUCGAGUUGUUUGGGAAUGCAGCUCAAAAUGGGUGGUAAAUUCCAUCUAAAGCUAAAUAUUGGCGAGAGACCGAUAGCGAACAAGUACCGUGAGGGAAAGAUGAAAAGCACUUUGGAAAGAGAGUUAAACAGUAUGUGAAAUUGUUGAAAGGGAAACGAUUGAAGUCAGUCGUGCUCAAUGGACUCAGCCGUUCUGCGGUGUAUUUCCAUUGGGUGGGGUCAACAUCAGUUUUGAUCGCUGGAUAAAGGCAGGAGGAAUGUAGCACCCCCGGGUGAACUUAUAGCCUCUUGUCACAUACAGUGGUUGGGACUGAGGAACGCAGCAUGCCUUUAUGGCCGGGAUUCGUCCACGUACAUGCUUAGGAUGUUGACAUAAUGGCUUUAAACGACCCGUCUUGAA